UACGGGGGAGCAAGCGUUGUUCGGAUUUACUGGGCGUAAAGGGCGCGUAGGCGGCGCAACAAGUCACUUGUGAAAUCUCCGGGCUUAACCCGGAGCGGUCAAGUGAUACUGUCGUGCUAGAGUGCGGAAGGGCUACUGGAAGUUCUCGGUGUAGCGGUGAAAUGCGUAGAUAGUCGGAAGAACAUCGGUGGCGAAGCGCUCUGCUGGACUGCAACUGACGACUCAGGGACGAAAGCUAGGGAGCGAAUGGG
rnacentral:rRNA from 1 species